rnacentral:rRNA from 1 species
GACGAACGCUGGCGGCGUGCUUAACACAUGCAAGUCGAACGGUAAGGCCCUUCGGGGUACACGAGUGGCGAACGAGUGAGUAACACGUGGGUGAUCUGCCCUGCACUUCGGGAUAAGCCUGGGAAACUGGGUCUAAUACCGGAUAGGACCACUGCCUGCAUGGGUGGUGGUGGAAAGCUUUUGCGGUUUGGGAUGGGCCCGCGGCCUAUAAGCUUGUUGGUGGGGUGAUGGCCUACCACGGCGACGACGGGUAGCCGGCCUGUGAGGGUGACCGGCCACAGUGGGACUGAGCUACGGCCCAGACUCCGACGGGAGGCAGCAGUGGGGAAUAGUGCACAAUGGGCGGAAGCCUGAUGCAGCGACGCCGCGUGAGGGAUGACGGCCUUCGGGUUGUAAACCUCUUUCAGCACCGACGAAGCGCAAGUGACGGUAGGGACAGAAGAAGGACCGGCCAACUACGUGCCAGCCGCCGCCGUAA